UUGGAUAUAGCUCAUGGUAGACUACUUGUCUAGCAUGCGUGAGGCCCUGGGUUUUAUUCCCAGUAUCAAAA
rnacentral:tRNA from 1 species